rnacentral:tRNA from 2 species
GGCGACAUAGCCAAGUGGUAAGGCAGGGGUCUGCAAAACCCCCAUCCCCCGGUUCAAAUCCGGGUGUCGCCU